AACAACGAUGAUGAUGAUGAUGGUGGUGAUGGGGAUACAACAAUGAAGAUGAUGAUGAUGAUGGUGGUGGUGGGGACACAACGAGGAUGAAGAUGAUGAUGGUGAUGAUGAUGGUGGGGACACAACAAGGAUGAAGAUGAUGGUGGUGAUGGGGACACAACAACAACAAUGAUGAUGAUGAUGAUGGUGGUGGUGGGGACACAAUGAGGAUGAAGAUGAUGAUGGUGGUGAUGAGGACACAACGAGGAUGAAGAUGAUGGUGGUGAUGGGGACACAACAACAACAAUGAUGAUGAUGAUGAUGGUGGUGAUGGGGAUACAACAACGAUGAUGAUGAUGAUGAUGAUGAUGAUGAUGGUGAUGGUGGGGACACAACCAGGAUGAAGAUGAUGGUGAUGAUGGUGAUGGGGACACAACUAUGAUGAUGAUGAUGAUGGUGGUGGUGGGGACACAACAACGAUGAUGGUGGUGGGGACACAAGGAUGAUGAUGAUGGUGGUGGGGACACAACGAGGAUGAAGAUGAUGGUGGUGAUGGGGACACAAUGAGGAUGAUGAUGGUGAUGAUGAUGGGGACACAACAGUGAUGAUGACAAUGAUGGGGACACAACAACAACGAUGAUGAUGGUGAUGGGGACACAGCUAUGAUGAUGAUGGUGAUGGGGAUACAACGAGGAUGAAGAUGAAGAUGGUGGUGGGGACACAACAAGGAGGAGGAUGAUGGUGGUGGGGACACAAUGAGGAUGAAGAUGGUGGUGAUGGGCACACAACAAUGACGAUGACAAUGAUGGUGAUGAUGGGGACGAGGAUGAAGAUGGUGAUGGUGACACAACAAUGGUGAAGAUGGUGAUGGUGACACAACAACGAUGGUGACACAACAAUGACAGUGAUGGUGACACAACAAUGACGGUGGUGACACAACAGUGAUGGGGACACAACAAUGGCAGUGAUGGUGACGCAACGACAACGAUGAUGGUGAUGGGGACACAACAAUGAUGGUGACGAUGACGUCAUUGACAAUGACCUCAUUGCCAGUGACAAUGACGAUGAUGCCGAUGGUGACAGUGACAUUGGUGAUGAUGGUGACGUCAUUGCCGAUGACCUCAUUGCAACGGUGACGAUGACAAUGAUGACAUCAUCGGCAAUGACGUCAUUGCCUGUGACGAUGACGAUGCCGGUAACGAUGACUGAUGAUGAUGACGUCACUGACAACGACACCGACGAUGCUGACGAUGAAGAUGACGAUGAUGACGACGAUGAUGACAUCAUUACUGGUGACGUCAUUAGCAAUGACAUCAUCACCCACCAACUCCUCCCUGGAAUUCAAUCCCAAAAUCCCCCCCCAAAAAAUCCCUGGAAUUCGAUCCAAAAUCCCCCCCAAAAAUCCCUGGAAUUCCACCCCAAAUCUCCCAAAAAAAUCCCUGGAAUUUGAUCCCAAAUCACCCCAAAAAAAUCCCCAGAAUUCGAUCCCAAAUCCCCAGAAUUCGAUCCCAAAUCCUCCCAAAAAAACCCGGAAUUGGAUCCCAAAUCCUCCCAAAAAUCCCUGGAAUUUGAUCCCAAAUCCCCCCCAAAAUCCACGGAAUUCGAUCCCAAAUCCCCCCCAAAAAUCCCCGGAAUUCGAUCCCAAAUUCCCCCCCAAAAACUCCCUGAAAUUCAAUCCCAAAUCCCUGAAAUUCGAUCCCAAAUCCCCCCCCCAAAAUCCCUGGAAUUUGAUCCCAAAUCCCCCCAAAAAACCUUGGAAUUCAAUUCUAAAUCCCCGGAAUUCAAUCCCAAAUCCCCCCCAAAAAUCCCUGGAAUUUGAUCCCAAAUCACCCCAAAAAAUUCCCCAGAAUUCGAUCCCAAAUCCCCCCAAAAAACCCUGGAAUUCAAUCCCAAAUCCCCCCAAAAAAUCCCUGGAAUUUGAUCCCAAAUCCCUCCAAAAAAACCCUGAAAUUCAAAUCCCAAAUCCCCCAAAAAAUCCCUGAAAUUCAAUCCCAAAUUCCCCCCAAAAAAUCCCUGGAAUUCAAUCCCAAAUCCCACAAAAAAAACCCUGGAAUUUGAUCCCAAAUCCCCCCAAAAACUCCUGGAAUUUAAUCCCAAAUUCCCCCAAAAAAUCCCUGGAAUUCGAUCCCAGAUCUCCAAAAAAUCCCUGGAAUUUGAUCCCAAAUCCACCCUAAAAAUCCCUGGAAUUCAAUCCCAAAUCCCCCCCAAAAAUCCCCGGAAUUUGAUCCCAAAUCUCCUCCCAAAAAACCCUGGAAUUCAAUCCCAAAUCCCCCCCAAAAAAUCCCUGAAAUUCGAUCCCAAAUCCCCCCCAAAAACUCCCUGGAAUUUGAUCCCAAAUUCCCAGAAUUCAAUCCCAAAUCCCUCCCAAAAAAUCCCUGGAAUUCAAUCCCAAAUCCCUGGAAUUCGAUCCCAAAUCCCCCCCAAAAACUCCCUGAAAUUCAAUCCCAAAUCCCUGAAAUUCAAUCCCAAAUCCCCUCCCUAAAAAUUCCCAAAUUUUGCAGUUUGGGCUUCAAAAAAAAAACCAAAAAAUACCCCACAAAAAAACAAAAAAAAAGUGGCUUUUUGGGGGUUGUUUUAUUGGGAAUUUUUUGUGGUUGUUGUUGAUGUGGUGAUGUCGCUUCUUUAUUUUCUUGGGAAGAAAAAAAUCCGGGAUAAAAA